rnacentral:snoRNA from 1 species
CUGCAUCUAUGUGAUAGACCCAGGAAAUUACUGUCUUCUGCUAAGAUCUCCACUGUGGAUGCAAGGGAAAAGCCUCCUUGCACUUUUUGUCUGUCUGAUUAUGACAGCCAAGAUUAUAUAGAGGACUGUGUCA